rnacentral:rRNA from 1 species
CAGUAGCCGCGGUAAUACGAAGGUCCCGAGCGUUGUUCGGAAUCACUGGGCGUAAAGGGAGCGUAGGCGGCGUGGUAAGUCAGAUGUGAAAUCCCGGGGCUCAACACCGGAGCUGCAUCCGAUACUGCCGUGCUAGAGGAUUGGAGAGGUAGCUGGAAUUCUUGGUGUAGCAGUGAAAUGCGUGGAGAUCAAGAGGAACACUCGUGGCGAAAGCGAGCUACUGGACAAUAUCUGACGCUGAGGCUCGAAGGCCAGGGUAGCGAAAGGGAUUAGAUACCCCUGUAGUCCCUGUCUCUUAUAC